CAGUAGCCACGGUAAUACAGAGGGUGCAAGCGUUAAUCGGAAUUACUGGGCGUAAAGCGCGCGUAGGUGGUUUGUUAAGUUGAAUGUGAAAUCCCCGGGCUCAACCUGGGAACUGCAUCCAAAACUGGCAAGCUAGAGUAGGGCAGAGGGUGGUGGAAUUUCCUGUGUAGCGGUGAAAUGCGUAGAUAUAGGAAGGAACACCAGUGGCGAAGGCGACCACCUGGGCUCAUACUGACACUGAGGUGCGAAAGCGUGGGGAGCAAACAGGAUUAGAUACCCGAGUAGUCCCUGUCUCUUAUAC
rnacentral:rRNA from 1 species